ensembl:lncRNA
AUACACUGCAAUUUCAACCGCAAAACUUCUUAGCUGUGAUUUUAAACGACAAAAUACAAUCUGCUUUGCCUAGCAAAGGUAUUACUGUUUGUUGUUGACUUCAAAUUCAAAAUUGACUUCACACAUGCUGUCAUGGAAUUUUGUUCAUCAAACAAUCAGUGACCUUGCGCAACAUCAGUCUGCAUACUGUACUGUUGAGAAGAGCUUGCAAGUAAUUGUACAAUGGGUGGGUCUAAUCCUGAUUUGUGUGAACCUUGCUGUCUAUCUCUGACAUUUGCAACAUUGUUUUGAUAUUCAAAUUCGAUCUCCAGCUGUCCCAUAGUAAUGAACGUGUCGGGAGUCAGGACGAGACAGAAGGGCUACACAGGGCAAUGUCCCCAAUCACUGCCCUGGGACAUUGGGAUAUUUUUUUAGACCAGAAGACAGAGUGCCUCUUACUGGCCCUCCAACACCACUUCCAGCAGCAUGUGUUCUCCCAGCAGAUCAACCCAGCUUAGAUUCAGAGGUAAGCCAGCAGUGGGAUGCAGGGUGGUAAGCUGCUGUGUUGAUAACAUUUGUUAUUGUUCUCUCCAGGUGUCCUUGACCUCUUGUCAAGGACCAGAUGUUCCCAGGAGUUCACCCACUGUCCCUGGGCCUAGCCACCAGCUCUAGCCCCCUGAGAGAGCAGCUCCAAGCAGUCCCUGUCACCCAGCCUGCCUCCACCACAGUAGACCCAGAGACCUGCAUAGUCCCACAGAGCCCUGUGGUGAUGUCUCGCUCAGCCAUGGGAGCCGCCCUCGGCCACCUCCUCCACCAUAGAUGACUUUGACGAGCUGAUGAAGGAGUUCAUAGGCUACUAUCAUGAGCUGUGAGCUGGACCCCAGCAAGGGAUUUAACGACCACCUGCUGGAGCUGAAUGAGGUGAUUGGCAGCUAGACUGGCCACCUGAUACUCUGUUCACGAGCUUGAACCGACCCUUGUUCUAGAGUAAAGCCUAUGUUCAUCAUCACCCUCAGAUACGCAAAAAGUUAUACAGCUACCCCAUCGAGAGCAUCUUGCCUGGCUGCAUCACCGCAUGGUAUUGCAACUGCUUGGAAUCCGACCGCAAGGUGCUACUGAGGGUAGUGUGUACAGCCCAGUACAUCACUGGGGCCUUGCUUCCUGCCAUUCAGGACCUCUAUACCAGGUGGUGUCAUAGGAAGGCCCACAUUUUUUUGAAAAACUCCAGCCACCCAAGCCACAGACUGUUCUCUCUGCUACAGCAUGGCAAGCGGUACCAAUGCACCAAGUCUGGAAUCAACAGGACACUGAACAGCUUCUACCCCCAAGACAUAAGACUUAUAAAGAAGACUGCUAAAUAGCUGACUCUAUGCACACACUCUGGACUCUACCUACAUAAUCACAAAUGCUUACACUGACACACACACCACACACCACACACAACACACACACACACACACACAACACACCACCACACACAACAACCACACACACACACAGCACAUAUAUUUCUACUCCUUGUACAGUGGCAAGAAAAAGCAUGUGAACCCUUUGGAAUUACCUGGAUUCGGCAUAAAUUGGUCAUCAAAUUUGAUCUGAUUUUCAUCUGUAACAAUAAUAGACUGGGGAGGAGGGGGAGGAAUGAGCCAAUUGUAAGAUGUGGAUGAUUAGAUGGCCAUGAUGGUAUGAGGGCCAGAUUAGGAAUUUAGCCAGGAUACCAGGGUUAACACUCCUACUCUUACGAUAAGUGCCAUAGGAUCUUUAGUGACCACAGAGAGUCAGGUCACCAUCUGAAAAACGGCACUCUACACAGGGCAAUGUAGAGUGGAAAUACCUGGAUUUCUGCAUAAAUUGGUCAUCGAAUUUGAUCUGAUUUUCAUCUGUUACAAUAAUAGACAAACAUAUUGUGCUUAAACUAAUAACGCACAAAUGAUGGUAUUUUUCUUGUCUAUAUUGAAUACAUAAUUUUAAAAUUCACAGUGUAAGGUUGGAAAAAGUAUGUGAACCCCUAAGCUAAUGACUUCUCCAAAAGGUAAUUGGAGUCAGGAGUCUGCUAACCUGGAGUCCAAUCAAUGAGAUGAGAUUGGAGAUGUUGGUUAGAGCUGCCUUGCCCUAUGAAAAACACUCUCAAAAUUUGAGUUAGCUAAGAAGCAUUGCCUGAUCCAUGCCACGAACAAAAGAGAUCUCAGAAGACCUAAGAUUAAGAACUGUUGACUUGCAUAAAACUGUAAAGGGUUACAAAAGUAUUUCUAAAAGCCUUGAUGUUCAUCAGUCCAAGAAAAGACAACUUGUCUAUAAAUGGAGAAAGUUCAGCACUGUUGCUACUCUCCCUUAGGAGUGUCCGUCCUGCAAAGAUGACUGCAAGAGCACAGCACAGAACGCUAAGAGGUUAAGAAGAAUCCUAGAGUGUCAGCUAAAGACUUACAGAAAUCUCUGGAACAUGCUAACAUCUCUGUUGACGAGUCUACGAUACGUAAAACACAAAACAAGAAUGGUGUUCAUGGCAGGACACCACGGAAGAAGCCACUGCUGUCCAAAAAAGUCUGAAGUUCGUAAAAGUGCACCUGGAUGUUCCACAGCGCUACUGGCAAAAUAUUCUGUGGACAGAUGAAACAGUUGAGUUGUUUGGAAAGAACACAUAACACUAUGUGUGAAGAAAAAAAGGCACAGCACACCAACAUCAAAA